GCCCCCGUAGCUCAGCGGAUAGAGCGCUAGCCUCCGGAGCUAGAAGCGUGGGUUCNAUUCCCACCGGGGGUACCA
rnacentral:tRNA from 1 species